UAAGUAGGUUUGAUCCUGGCUACAGGACGACGCUGGCGGCGUGCUUAACACAUGCAAGUCGAACGGUGAUCUCGGUGCUUGCACCGGGUGAUCAGUGGCGAACGGGUGAGUAACACGUGAGUAACCUGCCCCAGACUCUGGGAUAACCCCGAGAAAUCGGAGCUAAUACCGGAUACGAGACGCACAGGCAUCUGUAGCGUCUGGAAAGAAUUUCGGUCUGGGAUGGACUCGCGGCCUAUCAGCUAGUUGGUGGGGUAAUGGCCCACCAAGGCGACGACGGGUAGCCGGCCUGAGAGGGCGACCGGCCACACUGGGACUGAGACACGGCCCAGACUCCUACGGGAGGCAGCAGUGGGGAAUAUUGCACAAUGGGCGAAAGCCUGAUGCAGCGACGCCGCGUGGGGGAUGAAGGCCUUCGGGUUGUAAACCCCUUUCAGCAGGGAAGAAGCGAAAGUGACGGUACCUGCAGAAGGAGCGCCGGCUAACUACGUG
rnacentral:rRNA from 1 species